rnacentral:rRNA from 1 species
CACGGGGGUUGCGAGCGUUGUCCGGAAUUACUAGGCGUAAAGGGCAGGCAGGCGGAUCCAUAAGUUUAUCGUUUAAGGCGUCGGCUUAACCGGCGUAGGGCGGUAGAUACUGUGGAUCUGGAAUGCGGUUGGGGAAGACAGAAUUCCUGGUGUAGCUGUGGAAUGCGCAGAGAUCAGGAGGAAUACCGAAGGCGAAGGCAGUCUUCCAAGCCGUUAUUGACGCUCAACUGCGAAGGUGUGGGUAUCAAACAGGAUUAGAUACCCCGGUAGUCCCUGAG